AGCUGAACAUGAGACACUUAUGAUACAUGACAGAGGUUAACACUGCUGUGGAUUAGCUGUGUGCAUGAUACUGUGAUCAGACAGAGGAGAGGAGUGUGUUGAGAGCAGAGAAAUAAUUUCCAUAGAGAGGAGGCUUUGCAUCGUCAGCUGAUCCUCCAGUGAACUGAGAAGGUUUAUAGUCCUGUGAGUUCAACACUGCAGGACUCAGAUCUGUCAGUCAACACAGCAGAAACCACAACCACCAUGACUCUCAUCACCAUCCUCAUCUGGACGCUGGCCUGCUGCUGUUUUACAGGAUGCAGCGGUCAGUUGACUGUGACUCAGCCUCCAGUAAAGACAUCUACUCCAGGAUCCACUGUCACUAUCAGCUGUAAAACAAACCAAGCUGUUUUCACAUACAGUAAUCAAGAUUAUUUGCACUGGUAUCAACAGAAAUCUGGACAGCCUCCAAAACUCCUGAUAAAAUAUGUGAGCACACGUGAAUCAGGAACACCAGCUCGGUUUAGUGGCAGUGGAAGCAGCUCUGACUUCACUUUGACCAUCAGUGGAGUUCAGGCUGAAGAUGCAGCAGUUUAUUACUGUCAAGCCUUCACUGGUGUGUUCACACAGUGAUUUGUCAUCGUACAAAAACCUCCCUCAGUCAGACUGCAGAGACACUGAGCUGUUACAGCAGGAACCAUCUGCAGCUGCUGAAGAGGAAGAGACUCUGACACAGACCACUGAACACAGAGCUGACAGUAACCUCACCAAGCACAAACUACACAUUCAUACUAAUAAGUAAAACAAUAGAUAAUCUUUGUAAAAUGGUAUUUGUUAUAUGUUCUAAGAAUAUUACAAUAACAUUUUGAUGUAAUUAUCAAUUUAAAAAAUAAUUAUUUUAAUAUUCACAUGAUUUAUCCAAUGCUGUAUCAAGUGAAAUUAUGAGCCCACCCUGGUACACACUAUCUUUCAUGUUUUUUUACUUGUGUUUAGCUGAUGUAUCACUAACUCCUGUCUUUACUGAUCCUGCCUCCCAGGUUUCCUCUCACCUGAUCUUCACCCUCACCCCUAUCUCCACACCUGCCUCUCAUUCCCCUCAUCAGUCACUCAUUCAUAUACCGGUCCAGCUCCACUUGCUCUCUGCCAGAUUGUCCAAUGUGUUAGUUCUUGCUUUCCAGUGAUUCCCUCUCUGACUCUACCUGCCUGACUACUGGUUUGAAGAUUAUUUAGUUCUUUUGUCUGCCUAAUCACUUGUUUUUUGGAGUUGAAUAAAGAUUCUUACUGACUCUGAA